rnacentral:rRNA from 1 species
AAAGAUACCCGGGUAGUCCACGCCGUAAACGAUGAGUGCUAAGUGUUAGAGGGUUUCCGCCCUUUAGUGCUGCAGCUAACGCAUUAAGCACUCCGCCUGGGGAGUACGGUCGCAAGACUGAAACUCAAAGGAAUUGACGGGGGGCCCGCACAAGCGGUGGAGCAUGUGGUUUAAUUCGAAGCAACGCGAAGAACCUUACCAGGUCUUGACAUCCCACUGACCGGUAUAGAGAUAUACCUUUCCCUUCGGGGACAGUGGUGACAGGUGGUGCAUGGUUGUCGUCAGCUCGUGUCGUGAGAUGUUGGGUUAAGUCCCGCAACGAGCGCAACCCUUGAUCUUAGUUGCCAGCAUUUAGUUGGGCACUCUAAGGUGACUGCCGGUGACAAACCGGAGGAAGGUGGGGAUAACGUCAAAUCAUCAUGCCCCUUAUGACCUGGGCUACACACGUGCUACAAUGGAUGGUACAAAGGGCUGCAAGACUGCGAAGUCAAGCCAAUCCCAUAAAACCAUUCUCAGUUCGGAUUGCAGG